rnacentral:tRNA from 1 species
GAGGCUCAGUGGUAGAGCAUCCGUUUGGCAUAUGGAAGGUCCUAGGUUCAAUUCCUGGCAUCUCCA